rnacentral:lncRNA from 1 species
CAGAGAGAAUGUGAAAUAUUUUAUAAGUCCAAAACUGCCAUCUGCAACCUCUGUUGCUUAGCUACAUGAUACUUGAGAUACCUCAGGAUCAAGUUUCUGAUUCUAGGAAGCUUUACAACAGAGAGCAUUAUUUAAGAAAUGUGUCACAAUGAUCCUCUAAAAGGCUACGUUGAUAUCCAGUGAGAGGCCAGCCCAGACUCAAGCCCAGUACCUGUAUUGAUUCAAGUACCCUCUGAGGCCAGGGAGGGGUCAUCACAGAGUUGCUCUGAAAGUUCCUUGAAGCUGAAUUCGCUGCAAGUUUCACUGAUCAGUCAAGUUUGUUUUGAUCCAGAUCUAGAGACAGACAGCACUCAUCCUUCACCUGUCUUAUGAGCACACCCAUAUCCAUUAUUGGUCUGCAAAGGGGAGAAGAAGGUACUGCAAGAAGUGCUGGCGAAAAAUCAACUGAAGUGACGGGACUGACUCAUCUGGCCCAGCCGCCUUUGGUAAUUGAUACCCAGAGCAUCAGACAAUAAUAGAAAUGAGAACAAAGUCUUUCUUUUCUUUUCAUUUUCAUUCACAUUGGUAUGUGUGCACAUUUACGCAUGGAUGUAUUUAGGUAUGCAUGCCUGUGUAUAUUUAAUUUAUUAGCAGUCAUGGCCUCUAUAGUCAGAAGACAGAAUGUUUCCUUGCUUGGAACCUGUAAAAGUGAUUUACCCAAGACAUGUUAACUUUUGGAUAAAGGAGAGAUAAAUAAAUCUACCAUGCCUCUCA